ensembl:lncRNA
CCUGGGGGGAUGGCCAGCUACAUGGUGCCCUCUCCCCCCCACCCCCACCCCACCAGCAGUCCCUUCCACCAAAGCAAUUCAUCAUCAGGUAAGCCGACCUGUGGCCAGAAGGGCCAGCACGGUCUACUUGGAUUCUGGGGCAAUAGAGCAAGAGGGUUCUGGGGAGGUGGUGGCCAUGCCCCCCAGAGGAUCCCAAAGCAGGGCUUCUUGGAUAGUCCCAAGGAAGCACAGAGAGUGCCAAGCACCUGUCUCCUGGACUAGAUGGGCAUGCAGGGGGUCCUGCCUCAGGGGACUGCAGGUCAGAAGAAUGAAUGAACUUAAAACAUGAGACCUCCAGGGCAGACAGCACAACUCCCAAGCCUUCAAGCUGACAGCCACAGGCAAAUGAAGACAGCUGGUUCUCACCUUCUAUGCGGCCCUUGGUCCCCAUUGCCCUGUGAGACUCUGCUUCUGACAAAGGUGCCACCAGGGAUGGUCUCAGUGUGUGUGGGUGGAUGGGGGGGGGGUCCUAGGACCAGGGAGGACAGGUUGCUGUGCCCUCACCCUCCUCAGUCCUUCCUGCACUGUCCCUUUGUCUCCUGCCCUCUGCCUUCUCCCUAUGCAAGUGUCCUGGGCUGCUAUAGCCCAUAGUCACAGACUGGGGCUUAGGACCACAGAGUAAUCAGGUAGGGAUGGCUAGAGCCAUAAGCCUGCCCAUCCAGGCCCAGGAUUCCUCCCCCUUCUGUUGCUUGUUGCUAUCUCCAGUACUUGUGGCUGCCUCAACCCUGGCCUCAGUCUCUGGGUCACAUGACCCUUUCCCUGCUCUGUCCGAUCUCCUGACCCCGUUUCUUAUAGACAUAUAUUGGGCAUCAGGCUCAGAGCUAGUCAGCCCAGGUUGAUCUCAUCUCAAGGUCCUGGAUACAUCUGGAAGGACCCCUCUUUCCAGUCACACUCUCGGGUUCUCGGGGUUAGGAUGUGACCAUAGCACAGACACAUCCUAUGUGGCCAGCAACCAACACUUAGUGAUACCCGCCCCCUCACCAGAGUCACCAGGUGGGACGGUGCCUAAUGUGAGCGUGAGUCUGCUGUAUGCCCUCCCAUGAAUGAGCAGUCUGGUCUAACACGGUGGACAUGACCCCACACACACUCCCCUCCCCCUCGUGCUUUCCCCUCCCUUUCUCUUCCCCCUCAUGCUUUUCCCUCCCCCCCCACCUCAGUCACAUCUUUCCCCUUUAAAGUAACAGGGGAGAGACUGGAUGCAAAGAGAAUAUUCUAGAUAGCCACUUGGAG